rnacentral:rRNA from 1 species
GGGGGUACACGAGUGGCGGAUGGGUGCGUAGCGCGUAUGCAACCUGCCCCGCGCCGGGGGAUAGCCCGCGGAAACGCGGAAUAAUACCCCGUAGUGCCCUCUGCCCGCAUGGGCGUUGGGCGAUAGGCCUUCGGGCCGGCGCGGGAUGGGCAUGCGUGCCAUUAGCUGGUUGGUGCGGUAACGGCGCACCAAGGCUUCGAUGGCUCGGGGGCCUGAGAGGGUGGCCCCCCACACUGGGACUGAGACACGGCCCAGACUCCUACGGGAGGCAGCAGUGAGGGAUAUUGGUCAAUGGGCGGAAGCCUGAACCAGCCAUGCCGCGUGCCGGACGACGGCCCUACGGGUCGUAAACGGCUUUUCUGGGGGAGCAAUAAGGGCGGUUUGGCGCCCGAUGCGCGUACCGCAGGAAUAAGGACCGGCUAACUCCGUGCCAGCAGCCGCGGUAAUACGGAGGGUCCGAGCGUUAUCCGGAUUUACUGGGUUUAAAGGGCGCGCAGGCGGCGCGGUAAGUCGGUGGUGAAACCCCGGGGCUCAACCCCGGGCCUGCCGCCGAUACUGCCGGGCUCGAAUGCGGCCGAGGGCGGCGGAACGCGUGGUGUAGCGGUGAAAUGCGUAGAUAUCACGUGGAAGGCCGAUUGCGAAGGCAGCUGCCCGGGCCUGCAUUGACGCUGAGGCGCGAAAGGGAGUACGGCCGCAAGGCUGAAACUCAAAGGAAUUGACGGGGGCCCGCACAAGCGGAGGAACAUGUGGUUUAAUUCGAUGAUACGCGAGGAACCUUACCCGGGCUCGAACGCCGAGUGCAUGGGCCGGAGACGGCCCUUCCCCUCUGGGGCCCUCGGCGAGGUGCUGCAUGGUUGUCGUCAGCUCGUGCCGUGAGGUGUCGGGUUAAGUCCCAUAACGAGCGCAACCCCCGCCGCCAGUUGCCAUCGGGUGAUGCCGGGGACUCUGGCGGGACUGCCGGCGCAAGCCGCGAGGAGGGCGGGGAUGACGUCAAAUCAGCACGGCCCCUACGUCCGGGGCGACACACGUGUUACAAUGGCCGGUACAGCGGGCCGCCACCCCGCGAGGGGGCGCGAAUCCCGAAAGCCGGCCCCAGUUCGGAUCGGAGUCUGCAACCCGACUCCGUGAAGCUGGAUUCGCUAGUAAUCGCGCAUCAGCCACGGCGCGGUGAAUACGUUCCCGGGCCUUGUACACACCGCCCGUCAAGCCAUGGAAGCCGGGGGCGCCUGAAGCCCGUAGCCGCGAGGGGCGGCCUAGGGCGAACUCGGUGACUGGGGCUAAGUCGUAACAAGGUAGCCGUACCGGAAGGUGCGGCUG